UGGAUAACAAGUGUCUGAGCCUGUUAGGGAAGAGGUGUGAGAGAAGCGAGUCUCAGCUUCUCAUUCCUUUCUUUUUGUUCUUAGCAGCAUCAGGGCAGAGCCAAGAGGGGAAAGGAAGGUGGAACAUUGAAAGGUUUGCCCGUGUCGGAGAGUUACCUAAAGAGAAGCAGAAGAGUGAGGGAAGCUGAAUUCUAAUCUGAAAAGAUGUCCAUCUCUUACCAAGUUUAUCCCAGAAAAUGGUGCCACGGAGUCCCACAUUUAUCAUCAGGAACCAACAGGCUGUCUGCUCCAUCACCAGCAGAUGGCACUUUAACUGUGACUCAACCUGAGGCCUUCUAUCUAAGGAAGCUUGUUCUAAAUAAGUUCUGAUGGUGCUGAUGAGCUGUGCAUGCACUAUGUCCCAGCCAUCAG